rnacentral:rRNA from 1 species
UACAGAGGUCCCAAGCGUUGUUCGGAUUCACUGGGCGUAAAGGGUGCGUAGGUGGUCGGGUAAGUCUGAUGUGAAAUCUCUGGGCUCAGCCCAGAAAUGGCAUUGGAUACUAUUCGGCUAGAGGAGUGGAGGGGGGACUGGAAUACUUGGUGUAGCAGUGAAAUGCGUAGUUAUCAAGAGGAACACCUGAGGUGAAGACGGGUUGCUGGGCUGACACUGACGCUGAGGCGCGAAAGCCAGGGGAGCAAACGGG